rnacentral:rRNA from 1 species
GGGCACGGGGGGCCUACGGGAGGCAGCAGUGGGGAAUCUUCCACAAUGGGCGAAAGCCUGAUGGAGCAACGCCGCGUGAGUGAAGAAGGUCUUAGGAUUGUAAAGCUCUGUCCUUAGGGAAGAACCGUGGGUAUAGUAAAUGCUACCCACCUGACGGUACCUUUGGAGGAAGCACUGGCUAACUACGUGCCAGCAGCCGCGGUAAUACGUAGAGUGCAAGCGUUGUCCGGAAUUAUUGGGCGUAAAGGGUACGCAGGCGGAUAAUCAAGUCAAGCGUGAAAGGUGUCGGCUUAACCGACAGACUGCGUUUGAAACUGGUUAUCUUGAGUGUAACAGAGGAGAGUGGAAUUCCUAGUGUAGUGGUGAAAUACGUAGAUAUUAGGAAGAACACCAGUGGCGAAGGCGACUCUCUGGGUUAACACUGACGCUGAGGUACGAAAGCUGGGGGAGCGAACGGGAUUAGAUACCCCGGUAGUCCCAGCCGUAAACGAUGGAUACUAGGUGUUGGAGGUUCGAAUCCUUCAGUGCCGGAGUUAACGCAUUAAGUAUCCCGCCUGGGGAUUACGAUCGCAAGAUUGAA